rnacentral:tRNA from 1 species
GGAGGCGUAGCGAAGUGGCCAUAACGCGGCGGUCUUGAAAACCGUUUGGGAGCAAUCCCGCGGGGGUUCGAAUCCCUCCGCCUCCG